rnacentral:tRNA from 1 species
GGGGGCGUAGUUCAGUUGGCUAGAACGCCUGGCUGUCACGCAGGAGGUCGCGGGUUCGAGUCCCGUCGCUCCCGCCA